GCUCACUCCCUCGCUUCCAACGCCGCCCUUGCCCUCCAAUUGAACGCCCAUUCCUCCACCCGAGAACAGGCCCAGUUGAGAGAGGUGACAUUGCAGGAGGAAAAUGCUGCAUAUGAAAAGGCUAUAUCAAACUGUGAAAGUAAAAUACAGGAGAAGAUUGAGGAAGCAGAGUUACUUAGGAGGAAGUUAGAGGAAUUGGAGGACACUGAAAAGAAUUUGAGAGAUGAGCUGGAAAAUGCACAAACAGAAUUGGAUACCAGUCGAUCUCACGGAUCAGAUGAAGUUGUUGGCAACUCCAAAACAU